rnacentral:rRNA from 1 species
AGAGUUUGAUCAUGGCUCAGGACGAACGCUGGCGGCGUGCCUAACACAUGCAAGUCGAGCGGGGUCAAAGUUCAACACUGAGUAUUUGGGCAAACGUUGGUUUUGUGACCAGCGUUAUGCAGAAACAACAUUGGAUUUUUAAAAAGUUUCUGCAUCAUGCUAUUUAGUGGAUAACCCAAGCCCAAGUAUUGAGUGUUGAACUUUGACCUAGCGGCGGACGGGUGAGUAACGCGUGAGCAACCUACCUUGCACAGGGGGAUAACACCCGGAAACGGGUGCUAAUACCGCAUAAGACCCCACUAUCGCAUGAUAGAGAGGUCAAAGGGCAUAACCGGUGCAAGAUGGGCUCGCGUCCCAUUAGCUAGUUGGUGAGGUAACGGCUCACCAAGGCGACGAUGGGUAGCCGACCUGAGAGGGUGAUCGGCCACACUGGGACUGAGACACGGCCCAGACUCCUACGGGAGGCAGCAGUGGGGAAUAUUGCGCAAUGGGGGGAACCCUGACGCAGCGACGCCGCGUGAGUGAAGAAGGUCUUCGGAUCGUAAAGCUCUGUCAUCGGGGACGAAGGUAUGACGGUACCCGAAGAGGAAGCCCCGGCUAACUACGUGCCAGCAGCCGCGGUAAUACGUAGGGGGCGAGCGUUGUCCGGAAUUACUGGGCGUAAAGGGUGCGUAGGCGGCCUGAUAAGUCAGGUGUGAAAUACCAGGGCUCAACCCUGGGGGUGCACUUGAAACUGUCGGGCUUGAGUGCA